rnacentral:rRNA from 1 species
GACGAACCGAGCGAACGUUAUUCGGAAUCACUGGGCUUAAAGGGCGCGUAGGCGGGCCUGAAAGUCAAGGGUGAAAGCCCCCGGCUCAACCGGGGAAGUGCCCCUGAUACUUCAGGCCUCGAGGGAGGUAGGGGCGUGCGGAACUUCCGGUGGAGCGGUGAAAUGCGUAGAUAUACGGAAGGAACACCAGUGGCGAAGGCGACUUACUGGGCAAUAACUGACACUGAGGCACGAAAGCGUGGGGAGCAAACAGG